UACGUAGGGUGCAAGCGUUAAUCGGAAUUACUGGGCGGAAAGCGUGCGCAGGCGGUUUUGUAAGACAGGCGUGAAAUCCCCGGGCUCAACCUGGGAAUUGCGCUUGUGACUGCAAAGCUGGAGUGCGGCAGAGGGGGAUGGAAUUCCGCGUGUAGCAGUGAAAUGCGUAGAUAUGCGGAGGAACACCGAUGGCGAAGGCAAUCCCCUGGGCCUGCACUGACGCUCAUGCACGAAAGCGUGGGGAGCAAACAGG
rnacentral:rRNA from 1 species